GUAAUUUAAAACAGACGUACUUUUUUCUUGGUGAUUGAUUUCGCGCCAUUUCAGCUUUGCACGUGUAAUUGACGUUUUACCUUCUGUACCUGUACUUUUAAAACGAUAGUAAAAAUUUCUUUUUCACUGACGUUCAGAAACAUGCCAUUGAUAGGAAAAACACAUACACCUUUGAAAAAAUUGCAUGGGGCGUCAACCAGGGCUCCCCGAAAAUGACCGUCAGAAAGGUCUUGGAAUGGUUGAUGUCGGAAUGAGUGUUGCUGACAUCGUGGAUCGAUUUAAUGUGCAUACGGCAACAGUUUAGAGACUAACAAACAGAUAUCGACAAAUUGCAACUGCACAGGAUAGGUCGAUAUCCCGUAGACCAAAAAAACUAUCGCCAAAGGAGGAGCGCUACCUUCGCUUUUUAUCAACACGUGACAAGUUUUUUCCGGCCACAAAAGUAGUGCAUUGACUAUGGGCAGCUGCUGUUGUGCCUGCCAAUCCUUCAUUGGUGCACUAAGGGCAUGGCUGAGAAAUUGGUUUUGAAUAACAGUAUAUUCAUUUCCGCAUUUUGACCCUCCCGCGCUCCAU
rnacentral:lncRNA from 1 species